rnacentral:rRNA from 1 species
GGAAUCUUCGGCAAUGGACGAAAGUCUGACCGAGCAACGCCGCGUGAGUGAAGAAGGUUUUCGGAUCGUAAAACUCUGUUGGUAGAGAAGAACAAGGGUGAGAGUAACUGUUCACCCCUUGACGGUAUCUAACCAGAAAGCCACGGCUAACUACGUGCCUG